AAUGACCUAGUAACCCAGCCCCAUCACGACAGUCACAGGACAGAGGACAACUGGGCCUCCUGCUGCAGGGGGGCUGGGGCCCUGCCCUUCAAAGUGAAUCUGGAGGUUCUACACUA
ensembl:snoRNA